GCUUGUCUCAAAGAUUAAGCCAUGCAUGUCUUAGUGUAAAUAACUCUUAUGAAACUGCGAAUGGCUCAUUAAAUCAGUUAUCAAAUACGUGAUGGUCGCCUACUACAUGGAUAACCGUAGUAAUUCUAGAGCUAAUACAUGCACAAAGGCCCACUCACGUGGGUUGUGAUUAUUAGAUUCAAACCGGCCUCGUUCUGGUGAUUCAUAAUAACCGAACGAAUCGUAUGGCAUCAGCUGGCGAUGAAUCAUUCAAGUUUCUGACCUAUCAGCUUCCGACGGUAGGGUAUUGGCCUACCGUGGCAAUGACGGGUAACGGAGAAUUAGGGUUCGAUUCCGGAGAGGGAGCCUGAGAAACGGCUACCACAUCCAAGGAAGGCAGCAGG
rnacentral:rRNA from 1 species